rnacentral:rRNA from 1 species
GACGAACGCUGGCGGCGUGCUUAACACAUGCAAGUCGAACGGAAAGGCCCUGCUUUUGUGCGCUGGUCGGGUGGCCACGGGGUGACUAACACGUAAGUAACCUGUCCCUGCCUUUGGGAUAACUUCAGGCAACUGAGGCUCAUACCAGAAAGGAUCUACCGCUUCAUGGUGGGGGUUCGUAAGUUUCGGUGGUUGGGGAUGGACUCGCGGCUUAUCAGCUUGUUGGUGGGGUAGUGGCUUACCAAGGCUUUGAAGGGUAGCCGGCCUGAGAGGGUGACCGGCCACAUUGGGACUGAGAUACGGCCCAGACUCCUACGGGAGGCAGCAGUGGGGAAUAGUGCACAAUGGGCGGAAGCCUGAUGCAGCAACGCCGCGUGCGGGAUGACGGCCUUCGGGUUGUAAACCGCUUUCGCCUGUGACGAAGCGUGAGUGACGGUAAUGGGUAAAGAAGCACCGGCUAACUACGUG